UACGUAGGUGGCAAGCGUUAUCCGGAAUUACUGGGCGUAAAGCGUGCGCAGGCGGUUUUGUAAGCCAGAUGUGAAAGCCCCGGGCUUAACCUGGGAAUGGCAUUUGGGACUGCAAGGCUUGAGUGCGGCAGAGGAGACUGGAAUUCCUGGUGUAGCAGUGAAAUGCGUAGAUAUCAGGAGGAAUACCGAUGGCGAAGGCAGGUCUCUGGGCUGACACUGACGCUCAUGCACGAAAGCGUGGGGAGCAAACAGG
rnacentral:rRNA from 1 species